AAAGGCAUUUAUUAAAUCCUUAUGGGUCAAGCACUGAGAUAAACACUGGAAAUACAAACAUAAAAGCAAAGACAACUCUUUACCUCAUGGAACUCAUGUUCUAAUGGGGGGGAUGGUACACAAAGGGAAAUGGUGACCAAAAAGGGGCAAUUGGGUCUGAAAAGUUAAAGUAAUAGUCAAUAGGAUAAGGGAAAGAGAUUGAAAUACCUUCCAGGAACAAUGGAAGUGUUAAUUUGAUCAGAAUUGCUUGAAAGAUCCAAGGGUAAGCCAAAAGAAAAAAAAAAGGGAAUGAGGUAAAGCAUAUUAUGAUGAGCUGUGCUUUCACUUUUUUUAAAUUAGAUUUACAUUAAUGUUUACUAUAUAUUCAUUUACUUAGAGUACAGUUGCUCCUAGAUGUUGAGGGAAAAAGCAGAAGAGACUGAUUACUUUUCCAGCUUCUGAAGUUAUCCCCACAAGCCCCGAACACUGAUUCUUAUAAAACUUGUAUCAAGAAGGCUGAAAACCAGAAGGCACUGAGGCAAACCAUGAGUGCUAAAGGUGGAGAAUUCAGAUCUCUUGGAACACCAUUUCUGCCGUUGGUAAAUUCAGCUGGUUAUUUGGGCAAGUGUCAGAUUACUUGCAUUCUGAUUAAUCAAAAUUUCACAGUUCAUGGUA
rnacentral:lncRNA from 1 species